rnacentral:rRNA from 1 species
UACGAAGGGGGCUAGCGUUGCUCGGAAUCACUGGGCGUAAAGCGCACGUAGGCGGAUCGUUAAGUCAGGGGUGAAAUGCCGAGGCUCAACCUCGGAACUGCCUUUGAUACUGGCGAUCUUAGAGUCCGGGAGAGGUGAGUGGAACUCCGAGUGUAGAGGUGAAAUUCGUAGAUAUUCGGAAGAACACCAGUGGCGAAGGCGGCUCACUGGCCCGGUACUGACGCUCAGGUGCGAAAGCGUGGGGAGCAAACAGG